AGAGUUUGAUCAUGGCUCAGGAUGAACGCUAGCGGCAGGCUUAAUACAUGCAAGUCGAGGGGCAGCACGGGUAGCAAUACCUGGUGGCGACCGGCAAACGGGUGCGGAACACGUACAGAACCUUCCUUUAAGCGGGGGAUAGCCCAUAGAAAUGUGGAUUAAUACCCCAUAGUAAUAUUUGAUGGCAUCAUUAGAUAUUUAAAGAUUUAUCACUUAAAGAUGGCUGUGCGGCUGAUUAGGUAGUUGGUGCGGGUAACGGCCCACCAAGCCAGCGAUCAGUAACUGGUGUGAGAGCACGACCAGUCACACGGGCACUGAGACACGGGCCCGACUCCUACGGGAGGCAGCAGUAAGGAAUAUUGGUCAAUGGACGCAAGUCUGAACCAGCCAUGCCGCGUGAAGGAUGAAGGCCCUCUGGGUUGUAAACUUCUUUUAUCUGGGAAGAAACCACUUUUUUUUAAAGGUGUUGACGGUACCAGAGGAAUAAGCACCGGCUAACUCCGUGCCAGCAGCCGCGGUAAUACGGAGGGUGCAAGCGUUAUCCGGAUUCACUGGGUUUAAAGGGUGCGUAGGUGGGUUGGUAAGUCAGUGGUGAAAUCUCCGUGCUUAACAUGGAAACUGCCAUUGAUACUACUGGUCUUGAAUCUUCUGGAGGUUAGCGGAAUAUGUCUGUAGCGGUGAAAUGCUUAGAUAUGACAUAGAACACCAAUUGCGAAGGCAGCUAGCUACAGGGGUAUUGACACUGAGGCACGAAAGCGUGGGGAUCAAACAGGAUUAGAUACCCUAGUAGUCC
rnacentral:rRNA from 1 species